GGGUAGGUAGCGAAGCGGUCAAACGCAACAGACUGUAAAUCUGUCGACAAUUGUCUUCGGAGGUUCGAAUCCUUCCCUACCCAC
rnacentral:tRNA from 1 species